rnacentral:lncRNA from 10 species
GGAACCGGCAGGGAGCUGAGUGCGAGGAGACCCGGGACACCGCUGCACUGGCCCCGCACGCGCGUCUCAGUGGCGGGUGUGCUCCUGCGGUGUUGGGACGCAUGGAGCCCGUGCUGUACGAAACAGUCGUAGAAAACUACAAACAGGCUACACGAGGGGGAGGCCUCGAGCUGCAAAGUGGUGGCUGUGGACCACGUUAAACCGUCUCUACCCGGCCUGUGCGCUUGGCCUGGCAGCCUGAGCUCACAAUCGUCCGACCACGUCCACUGGACGCCCUCGGUGACUGCUGGGCACAUACGGGGGUCAUCCUAUCAAAAGUUACGGUGAAGUCAGGGUGGGUGGCGAGUCCCUGCAAGGUCGCCCCUCUGUGCCAACACAGCCUGAUGGCUUCUUGUUUCAGGAAACAUCCAGAAUUACAACUGGCCAUUGAGUUAUUACAUAUCAAUUGAACAAGGUAGUUUUAAAAUGAAAGAAAAUCUUGCAACAUGAAUAAAGAGAUAGACUCUUUGAAUCUGGCAUACAGCUUUCCCUUCCUUCUUCCUGCUUUCCUGGACACACCGUGGACAGACCCAUUUCCCUCUGGAUUCAUGGUAAGGUCCCGAGUGCUUCUGAUGCAGCUGCUGAGCAGACCCCGCUCAUCUCAGGAGUCCCGAGGACACUCGCUUCCCUGCAGCCCGUCCGCCCUCCAUAAGCCUGGGGGCAUCUGCCCUGCAGCACUGGGGAGGAGCCACCUCCUUGUCUGGGAACAGCCAAGCCUCCGUGACAGCUGAGGAUUCUUGUGGAUUGUUCUUUCUGUAACUGGACAGCACAUCCGGAAUUCCUUGCCAUAGCUCUGUGCCUUGCUGGGGUCUGAGGUUCACAGGUCAGAUGCUGCUGUCUGGUCCUUCCCAAUUGCGGCGUGAAUUCCUUCAUCCUCACCAGUAGCUUCUUGCUCUCCCCAAGGGAGGCACGUGCUUAGUAGGGAGAGAGGCCUACCAAGGUUGCCAUCUGCCAUGGGCUCAAUUGUGUCCCCAACCCCCCUGCAAAUUAUAUAUUGAAGUCCUCGCCCCCAGUACCUCAGAAUGUGGUUGUACUUGCAGACAGGGUCUUUAAAUAGGUGAUGAAGUCAGUAUGAGGUGAUUAGGGUGGGCCCUAAUCCACGAUGAUGGGAGUCCUUGUAAGAAGGGAGUAGGACACAGACAUGUAUGGAGGGAAGACGCGGGCAGAGGAGGGCUGUCUGCAAGGCAAGGAAAGGGGUCAUCGGAAGACAGCAACCCUGCCACACCUUGAUUUUGGAUUUCCAGCUUCCAAAAUGGAAAGAAGAUGAUUUUUUUGUUGUUGCUGCUCAAGCCCCCCAGUCCGUGGCAGUUUGUCAUGGCCACCCCAGGUGACCAAGACGCCAUUCCAUCUGACCUGCUCCCUGGGCCUGUCUUUCUGUCUGGGUGUCUGGUUUUCCUGCUGUGCUUUGUAACCCCCGGAUCUGAUUCCUGACCUCCGUCUUAUUUGGUGUUUACAGCAGCCACUCCUUGGCACGCUUUGCUGUUUUGAUAAGUGUAACUUUUGUCCCUUCCCCUAAAUACUAAAGAAAGUUGCAUCAGGUUUAAGAAGCAUCCCUUCCUCUCAGUCGUGGCUGGGGAUUCCUCGGCCACCACAUUCUGUUAUUAAUGGCUUAUGUUGU